AUUGAACGCUGGCGGCAGGCUUAACACAUGCAAGUCGAGCGGUAGCACAAGAGAGCUUGCUCUCUGGGUGACGAGCGGCGGACGGGUGAGUAAUGUCUGGGAAACUGCCUGAUGGAGGGGGAUAACUACUGGAAACGGUAGCUAAUACCGCAUAACGUCGCAAGACCAAAGAGGGGGACCUUCGGGCCUCUUGCCAUCAGAUGUGCCCAGAUGGGAUUAGCUAGUAGGUGGGGUAAUGGCUCACCUAGGCGACGAUCCCUAGCUGGUCUGAGAGGAUGACCAGCCACACUGGAACUGAGACACGGUCCAGACUCCUACGGGAGGCAGCAGUGGGGAAUAUUGCACAAUGGGCGCAAGCCUGAUGCAGCCAUGCCGCGUGUAUGAAGAAGGCCUUCGGGUUGUAAAGGUACUUUUCAGCGGGGAGAAGGGNGUAAAGGUUAAUACCUUUUGCUCGAAUUGACGUUUACCCGCAGAAGAAGCACCGGCU
rnacentral:rRNA from 1 species